rnacentral:rRNA from 1 species
UGGGGAAUAUUGGACAAUGGGCGAAAGCCUGAUCCAGCCAUGCCGCGUGUGUGAAGAAGGUCUUCGGAUUGUAAAGCACUUUAAGUUGGGAGGAAGGGCAGUAAGCGAAUACCUUGCUGUUUUGACGUUACCGACAGAAUAAGCACCGGCUAACUCUGUGCCAGCAGCCGCGGUAAUACAGAGGGUGCAAGCGUUAAUCGGAAUUACUGGGCGUAAAGCGCGCGUAGGUGGUUCGUUAAGUUGAAUGUGAAAGCCCCGGGCUCAACCUGGGAACUGCAUCCAAAACUGGCGAGCUAGAGUAGGGCAGAAGGUGGUGGAAUUUCCUGUGUAGCGGUGAAAUGAGUAGAUAUAGGAAGGAACACCAGUGGCGAAGGCGACCACCUUGGCUCAUACUGACACUGAGGUGCGAAAGCGUGGGGAGCAAACAGG